GACAAACGCUGGCGGCGUGCCUAAUACAUGCAAGUCGAACGACGAAAGCCUUCGGGCAAGUAAGAGUGUCGCACGGGCGAGGAACACGUAGAUAAUCUGCCCUUCAGUGGGGAAUAACUCUCCGAACGGAGUGCUAAUACCGCAUAAGACCACAAGCUCUGCGGAGCAAGGGGUUAAAGGAUUUAUUCGCUGAAGGAUGAGUCUGCGGCCGAUUAGCUAGUUGGUGAGGUAAUGGCUUACCAAGGCAAUGAUCGGUAGAUGGUCUGAGAGGAUGAUCAUCCGCACUGGAACUGAGACACGGUCCAGACUCCUACGGGAGGCAGCAGUAGGGAAUAUUGCACAAUGGGGGAAACCCUGAUGCAGCAACGCCGCGUGAGUGAUGAAGGCUCUAGGGUCGUAAAGCUCUGUCGUAUGGGAAGAAAAAAAUGACGGUACCAUACAAGAAAGGACCGGCCAACUUCGUGCCAGCAGCCGCCGUAA
rnacentral:rRNA from 1 species